rnacentral:lncRNA from 1 species
AUGAGAUCUAAGAGCUAUUUAUCCUUCUGACUUUCACAGCCUAUCUUCUGCUUCCAUGUAGCUUCAGCAGCUAUUGUGGAUUUCGGGAAUCCCCAUUACCCAGGCUGGAGUGCAGUGGUGCAAUCACAGCACGAAAGUCUAUAGUGGAGGGCACAAGUGGGAAAGUAGUAGAUGAAGCAGAGAGGUAGCCAGGGGCAGAUCCAACUUAGAAUGAGUUAGAGGAACGGUUGGAUGGCUUUAGCUUAAAAGAAACGUGGUCUGACUUAUGUCUUAGGAGGACCACUCUGGCUUGCUGCCCAGAGAAAGGACUGUCGAGGGAACAAGAGUGGGAGCCAGGGCAUCACUUGUGAAGCUGUUAGUGAACCCAGAUGCAAGAGAAUGAUGACUUGGUCCUGGGUGGCUGGAGGAAGUGGUGAGAAAUGA